UACGUAGGAGGCGAGCGUUGUCCGGAGUUACUGGGCGUAAAGGGCGCGCAGGCGGCUCUGAAAGUCAGAUGUGAAAGCCCCGGGCUUAACCUGGGAAUUGCAUUUGAUACUCUGGAGCUUGAGUACGGGAGAGGAGAGUGGAAUUCCCAGUGUAGAGGUGAAAUUCGUAGAUAUUGGGAAGAACACCGGUGGCGAAGGCGGCUCUCUGGACCGUAACUGACGCUGAGGCGCGAAAGCGUGGGGAGCAAACAGG
rnacentral:rRNA from 1 species